GAUGAACGCUGGCGGCGUGCCUAAUACAUGCAAGUCGAGCGAAUGGAUUAAGAGCUUGCUCUUAUGAAGUUAGCGGCGGACGGGUGAGUAACACGUGGGUAACCUGCCCAUAAGACUGGGAUAACUCCGGGAAACCGGGGCUAAUACCGGAUAACAUUUUGAACCGCAUGGUUCGAAAUUGAAAGGCGGCUUCGGCUGUCACUUAUGGAUGGACCCGCGUCGCAUUAGCUAGUUGGUGAGGUAACGGCUCACCAAGGCAACGAUGCGUAGCCGACCUGAGAGGGUGAUCGGCCCAACUGGGACUGAGACACGGCCCAGACUCCUACGGGAGGCAGCAGUAGGGAAUCUUCCGCAAUGGACGAAAGUCUGACGGAGCAACGCCGCGUGAGUGAUGAAGGCUUUCGGGUCGUAAAACUCUGUUGUUAGGGAAGAACAAGUGCUAGUUGAAUAAGCUGGCACCUUGACGGUACCUAACCAGAAAGCCACGGCUAACUACGUGCCAGCCGCCGCGGUAA
rnacentral:rRNA from 1 species